GAUGAACGCUGGCGGCGUGCUUAACACAUGCAGGUCGAACGAAGCACUUUGGCGUUUUCGGACAAAGAAGUGACGGAGUGGAAGACGGGUGAGUAACGCGUGGGCAACCUGCCUUAUUCUGGGGGAUAAUAGUUAGUAAUGACUGCUAAUACCGCAUAACCCGAUAAAGACGCAUGACUUGGUCGGUACAGAUUUAUCGGGAUAAGGUGGACCCGCGUCGGAUAAGCAAGUUGGGGAGGUAACGGCCCACCAAGGCGACGAUCAGUAGCCGGCUUGAGAGAGUGAACGGCCACAUUGGGACUGAGACACGGCCCAAACUCCUACGGGAGGCAGCAGUGGGGAAUAUUGCACAAUGGGGGAAACCCUGAUGCAGCAACGCCGCGUGAAGGAAGAAGUAUUUCGGUAUGUAAACUUCUAUCAGCAGGGAAGAAAAUGACGGUACCUGACUAAGAAGCCCCGGCUAACUACGUGCCAGCCGCCGCGGUAAGAC
rnacentral:rRNA from 1 species